rnacentral:rRNA from 1 species
CACGUAGGGUGCGAGCGUUGUCCGGAAUUAUUGGGCGUAAAGAGCUCGUAGGCGGUGUGUCGCGUCGGCCGUGAAAACCUGCAGCUUAACUGUGGGCUUGCGGUCGAUACGGGCAUCACUGGAGUUCGGCAGGGGAGACUGGAAUUCCUGGUGUAGCGGUGGAAUGCGCAGAUAUCAGGAGGAACACCGAUGGCGAAGGCAGCUCGCUGGGACGGUACUGACGCUGAGACGCGAAAGCGUGGGGAGCGAACAGG